GAUGAAUGCUAGCGAUAGGCCUAACACAUGCAAGUCGAGGGGCAGCAUGGUCUUAGCUUGCUCAGACUGAUGGCGACCGGCGGACGGGUGCGUAACGCGUAGGCAACUUGCCUCACAGAGGGGGAUAACCCGUCGAAAGACGGCCUAAUACCGCGUACACUCCAUCUUGGGCAUCCGAGGUAGAGGAACUGAAAGUCACUGUAAGAAAGUCAUGCGUCACAUUAGCUAGUUGGUGAGGUAGCGGCGCAACGAGGCGACGCUGGGUAGGGGAACUGAGAGGUUGCAACCCCGCACUGGUACUGAGACACAGACCAGACUACUACGCGAGGCAGCAGAGUGGAAUAUUAGGCAAUGGGCGAGAGUCUGAACCAGCCGAGUCGCGUGAAGGAUGACUGUCUUAUGUAAUGUAAACUUCUUUUAUAGGGGAAUAACAAGAGUAACGUGUGACUCCCUGAAUGUACCGGAUGAAUAAGCAUCGGCUAACUCCGUG
rnacentral:rRNA from 1 species